rnacentral:rRNA from 1 species
AUUGAACGCUGGCGGCAGGCCUAACACAUGCAAGUCGAACGGUAGCACAGAGAGCUUGCUCUCGGGUGACGAGUGGCGGACGGGUGAGUAAUGUCUGGGAAACUGCCCGAUGGAGGGGGAUAACUACUGGAAACGGUAGCUAAUACCGCAUAACGUCGCAAGACCAAAGUGGGGGACCUUCGGGCCUCACACCAUCGGAUGUGCCCAGAUGGGAUUAGCUAGUAGGUGGGGUAAUGGCUCACCUAGGCGACGAUCCCUAGCUGGUCUGAGAGGAUGACCAGCCACGCUGGAACUGAGACACGGUCCAGACUCCUACGGGAGGCAGCAGUGGGGAAUAUUGCACAAUGGGCGCAAGCCUGAUGCAGCCAUGCCGCGUGUAUGAAGAAGGCCUUCGGGUUGUAAAGUACUUUCAGCGGGGAGGAAGGCGGUGAAGUUAAUAGCUUCACCGAUUGACGUUACCCGCAGAAGAAGCACCGGCUAACUCCGUGCCAGCAGCCGCAGUAA